GGCUAACGCUGGCGGCGUGUCUUAGCCAUGCAAGUCGAGCGGACUUAUGGGGUAACUUAUAAGUCAGCGGCGGACGGCGGAGUAACACGUAGCUAACCUACCCUCUGGACGGGGAUAACCUACCGAAAGGUGGGCCAAUACCCGAUGUAGUCAUCCUGUAUAGGGGUGAUGAAAGGUGGGCUUCUGUUUACAAGCUCAUGCUGGAGGAGGGGGCUGCGGCCUAUCAGGUAGUUGGUAGGGUAAUAGCCUACCAAGCCGAUGACGGGUAGCCGGCCUGAGAGGGUGACCGGCCCGAGGGGCACUGAGAUACGGGUCCCACUCCUACGGGAGGCAGCAGGCUAGAAAUUUGGGCAAUGGGGGAAACCCUGACCCAGUGACGCCGCGUGCAGGAAGGAGCCCUUCGGGGUGUAAACUGCUGUCGUGUAGGGAGAAGGGUACUAAGGUGAACAAUCUUAGUACUUGACGGUACUACAGGAGGAAGCCCAGGCUAACCUCGUG
rnacentral:rRNA from 1 species